UACGUAGGGGGCGAGCGUUGUCCGGAUUUACUGGGCGUAAAGCGCGUGUAGGCGGCGGCUUAAGUCGGGUGUGAAAGCCCGGGGCUCAACCCCGGGAUGCCGCUCGAGACUGGGUCGCUUGAGGACGGAAGAGGGGCGUGGAAUUCCUGGUGUAGCGGUGAAAUGCGUAGAGAUCAGGAGGAACACCCGUGGCGAAGGCGGCGCCCUGGUCCGUUUCUGACGCUGAGACGGCGAAAGCGCGGGGAGCGAACGGG
rnacentral:rRNA from 1 species